rnacentral:rRNA from 1 species
GGUCACUUCAAAGGUAUAAAAUCCGAAAACUGGCGCCAAUUGCGCAGGAGUUAGUACGCAUAUCAAUUCACGAAUGAAGAGUUUCCAAUUGUAGUCUUCUGUUAGUAAACAUCGAUGGGAAAUGCGGAAGAAAAGAACAAAGUACAUGACGCUCAAAGAAUAGAUCAAUUCGGGACCAAGGAGUUCAGUAGGCACGCGAGUCGUUGACGUUUUUCAUUGAACAGUCGAAGGCGAAAUGAAAGUGUUCAUGAAAAUGAACAGUACUUUUUUAUGGAGUGCUGCUCGCUUUUAACAUGAUCGUCCUUUUUUGUGCUUAAUUGUGCAAAAUUGAUAUAUGGGGACGCGCAGUGUGGUGCCGUUGAAUACUCGCACUGUUCUUUCUUUCUCUUCGGGGUUGGAGGAACAAUUGUCGAUCAGUCGGUUUCGGAGCGUGCACACUGGUACCCGAAAGAUGGUGAACUAUGCUUGAGCAGAAUGAAGCCAGAGGAAACUCUGGUGGAAGUUCGUAGCGGUGUUGACGUGCAAAUCACUCGUCUGACUUGAGUGUAGGGGCGAAAGACUAAUCGAACCAUCUAGUUGCUGGUUCCUUCCGAAGUUUCCCUCAGGAUAGCUGGCAUUUGUUUGUAACAAUUUUAUCCGGUAGAGCGAAUGAUUAGAGGUGUUGGGAACGCAAUGUUCUCAGCCUAUUCUCAAACUUCGAAUGGGUAAGCAAGGCGUUUUGCUUUGAUUUUACGAUGAAAUCGCCCAAUUAGAAUGCAUAAAUGCCUAGUGGGCCAAUUUUGGUAAGCAGAACUGGCGAUGUGGAAUGAACCAAAAGUCAGGUUAAGGUGCCAGACAUUGGCGCUCAUGAAAUACCAGAAAAGGUGUUGGUCGAUAUAGACAGCAGGACGGUGGCCAUGGAAGUUGGAAUCCGCCAAGGAGUGUGUAACAACUCACCUGCCGAAUCGACUAGCCCUGAAAAUGGAUAGCGUUUGAGCGCCAGGCCCAUACCUGACCGUCUCAAUUACGCACUUUUUUUUCGGAAAAGGUGUAAUGAACGUUGAGACGGGUAGGAAGGUCGCGACAGUGUUGCUUUGAAGAGUUUUGAGCGUGAGCUCGCUCGGAGCCGCUGUUGGUGCAGAUCUUGGUGGUAGUAGCAAAUAUUCAAGUGAGAACCUUGAAGGCUGAAGUGGAGCAAGGUUCCAUGUGAACAGCAGUUGGACAUGGGUCAGUCGAUCCUAAGAAAACGGCGAAAGCUUGUUCGAAUUUGCGACAUGAAUUGUAAGACUGUGUGUUUAUUGUGUGUGUGCAGUUGUCGUAUGUUUUCGAAAGGGAAUCCGGUUGAUAUUCCGGAACCGAGUAACGGAGACAAAGAGUAGCGCUUUAAUCUCUCUGUGGGGUUGGCGUUCAACUCAAUCGCGCGGUAACGCAAGCGAACUCGGAAAAUGACCGUCGUGAGUUUCGAAAAGAGUUUUCUUUUCUUUUUAAGGGACGCAUUCCCUGGAACCGGGUUGUCCGGAGAUAGGGAUUCUGGUAUCCAUAAAACGCCGACUUUUUCACGGUGUUCGGAGCGCUCUCGUCGGUACGUGAAAAUCCGAGCGACGCCUGGUAAAUCUCGUACUUGGUCGUACUGAUAUCCGCAGCAGGUCUCCAAGGUGAAUAGCCUCUGGCCGAUAGAAUAAUGUAGGUAAGGGAAGUCGGCAAAACGGAUCCGUAACUUCGGAACAAGGAUUGGCUCUAAGGGCUGGGCCGAUCGGGCUGAGGUUUCAAGCGUGCAGUGUAUGCUUGGCUGAGUUGUGUUGAGGACUUGUUCACUUGCCGCCGUUUGUUCGGUUGGUCUAGUGUAUUCGAGUCUGAAGCAGAGCUGGCCGACAGACCGGCACGUGCAGAACCUGAGCUGCGCGGCUGUCCGUUUACGUGUACAGACCGUUUCGGUCGGCAUUCAACAGCCAACUUAGAACUGGCACGGACACAAGGAAUCUGACUGUAUAAUUAAAACAAAGCAUUGCGAUGGCCGAUGAUCGGUGAUGACGCAAUGUGAUUUCUGCCCAGUGCUCUGAAUGUCAAAGUGAAGAAAUUCAAUCAAGCGCGGGUAAACGGCGGGAGUAACUAUGACUCUCUUAAGGUAGCCAAAUGCCUCGUCAUCUAAUUAGUGACGCGUAUGAAUGGAUCAACAAGAUUCCUUCUGUCCCUAUCUACUAUCUAGCGAAACCACAGCCAAGGGAACGGGCUUGGCAAAAUCAGCGGGGAAAGAAGACCCUGUUGAGCUUGACUCUAGUCUGACUCUGUGAAGAGACAUGAAAGGUGUAGCAUAGGUGGGAGAUUGUCAAAUUGCCAUCGUUCGCGCGGUGGUCCGGUGAUCGCCAAUGAAAUACCACUACUUUGAUCGUUUCUUUACUUAUUCGGUAAAGCGAAAAAAUUGUGGCCAAUUUGGCGGUGUUUAUGUCGCUGUUGGUCAUUGUUUUCAUGUUAGAUUGAAGCUUUGUUUACAGCCGUCGCUUUGUGUCGCCAUUUGACGCAUUGUUGUACUGGGUUAUCCCGGUGUGUGGUGUAGUCAGUAUGGAUGAUCGGCGAUAGGUUUGAAGUGAUUCGCUCCGGAAACAGUGUCAGACGGGGAGUUUGACUGGGGCGGUACAUCUGUUAAACGAUAACGCAGGUGUCCUAAGGUAAGCUCAGCGAGGACAGAAACCUCGCUUAGAGUAAACGGGCACAAGCUUACUUGAUUUUGAUUUCCAGUACGAAUAGAAACCGCGAAAGCGUGGCCUAUCGAUCCUUUUGAUUGUGUAGAUUUCAUGCAAGAGGUGUCAGAAAAGUUACCACAGGGAUAACUGGCUUGUGGCAGCCAAGCGUCCAUAGCGACGUUGCUUUUUGAUCCUUCGAUGUCGGCUCUUCCUAUCAUUGCGAAGCAGAAUUCGCCAAGCGUUGGAUUGUUCACCCACCAAUAGGGAACGUGAGCUGGGAUUAGACCGUCGUGAGACAGGUUAGUUUUACCCUACUGAUGACAAGUCGUUGCGAUAGUAAUCCUGCUCAGUACGAGAGGAACCGCGGGAUCAGACAUUUGGUUCAUGCGCUCGGCUGAAAGGCCGGUGGCGCGAAGCUAGCAUCUGCAAGAUUAUGACUGAACGCCUCUAAGUCAGAAUCUUUUCUAGUCAUUGGCAACGAUAAGUUGCGUCCAGACUCGAUGCGAGGAAACGAUUAGGCUUUGCUAUACGGCGAAGCCAUUAUCAGACCACGGUAGCAGGCAGUAUGGGAUUGUUACGAAAAAGCAAUUUUUUGAAGUCAGUUGAAUUCAAUCAAACUGCUAACAAUUCCACUGCGAAUGACUCCAUUCGAAUCAAU